rnacentral:tmRNA from 1 species
GGGGGCGACAUGGUUUCGACGUGGAUCGCGAAACCAUCGGAGCAUGCCGAGGUGCAGAGUUCCUCGUAAAUCCAACUGCAAACUAUUAGUUGCCAACGACGACAACUACGCUCUAGCGGCUUAAUCCCGCUAGCCUCUCACCUGGCUUGCCUGUGGGGUAGGAAUCGAGGGGUCGACACACACAGGAUCGCGAAGAAGUGCGUCCGUUACCAAUUCGCUAAACCUUAAGCGGGCUCGCCGACUAGUGCCUCCGUCUGUCGAGACACGGUCGGUCAAAACUAAAGACAGACUAAGCAUGUAGAACCGGUGCGUGGAGGAUUCUCGGACGCGGGUUCGAUCAUAGGGUCGCCCCU